rfam:Salmo salar isolate Sally breed double haploid chromosome ssa05, whole genome shotgun sequence.
UAAAGUACAAUUUGUAAGUCGCUCUGGAUAAGAGCGUCUGCUAAAUGACUUAAA